rnacentral:lncRNA from 1 species
AGUCCCUAGAUCCUAGAUUCCAGUCAUUUAUCAUCAGAUAUUUACUAAGAAGGGCGAUCCCCUAUUAUACAAUUAGAAAAGUCAGGCCCCUUCUGCUUUUGGCCAUCUUCCUUGUCAUUGGUGUUCAUCCUUGAAAGCCUUGACCUCCCCUCUACAGUGAGCUCCCACCAUGAUCGAAGUGGAGCUGCCGGUGAGUGUGCUAGCAAUGA